rnacentral:rRNA from 1 species
UCGCAUCCUGGGGCUGGAGCAGGUCCCAAGGGUUUGACUGUUCGUCAAUUAAAGCGGUACGCGAGCUGGGUUCAGAACGUCGUGAGACAGUUCGGUCCAUAUCCGGUGUAGGCGUUAGAAUAUUGAGAGGAGCCUUCUUUAGUACGAGAGGACCGAGAAGGACGUACCUCUGGUGUACCAGUUAUCGUGCCAACGGUAAACGCUGGGUAGCUAUGUAUGGAGUGGAUAACCGCUGAAAGCAUCUAAGUGGGAAGCCCACCUCAAGAUAAGUAUUCUCAUCACGUAAGUGAGUAAGGUCACGGUAAGACUAACCGUUUAAUAGGCAUUAAGUAUAAAUAUAGUAAUAUAUGAGCUGAGAUGUGCUAACAGACCGAG